CUCCAUUCACUACACUAACACACACUCUGCUUCUGCUACACACUAACACACUCUCUGCAUUCACUACACAUUAACCCACACUCUGCAUUCACUACACAUUUACACACACUCUGCAUUCACUACACACUAACACACUCUGCAUUCACUGCACUAACACACACACUACAUUCAUUACACAUUCAUUACAUUAUGCCUUUAGGACUGCUGGCAUGGAGUCCCUGGGGUCGGGUGGGGCUGCUGAGAGGCUGGCAUGCGGGCAGCAAGGGAGCAG